CAGCUCACAGCCUACCCAGCACCUUCGAGUCCUCCUCCACCCAACGGGCUCCCCGAGGCUCAUAUUUCAACACACUCACAAGGCCCUUCCAACGUGCCCCUCAAGUUAUGAGUUGGAAAUGCCAGCAGGAAUGGAAAAUCCAGGGCACAGCCAGGAGCGCAGUCCGGCGAUACCGUAGAGCAACACAGCCUACCUGGUUACACUCUACAACCAAGUGUCAUCUUCCCUCACGGAAAAUAAUGAAGGGAUGUCCACUUUCCCUCAAUAUGAAGAGUGUGCGAAAUGGAUUGAAUCCAGGAAAAAGUAUUUUGUUAUAGUGACAGAAACCAGUCACUCUUUUCAAAGGACUAUUUACACAGCUUUGUCAAGCUUAUCGUAAGGGACGUAGAGGAAGUUAGCAAACCUCAGCUACUAGUCCAUGUUUUCAUGGAAGUUGAACCGGCAGAAUGGAAGAUAUCUGUUACCAGGAGAAAACCAUGCAACCUCUUUGUGAAGAUCUUGUUCCUAAACACACAGGGAAGGAACC
ensembl:lncRNA